rnacentral:pre_miRNA from 1 species
CUGUAGGCACAGAAGGCAGGACUCAGGCCAAUCUCCACCAUGGACUGGUCCCCUCUCCUCCUCAUACUCCUCACUCACUGUACAGGUGA